rnacentral:lncRNA from 1 species
AAAGAUGCAAUUUUUACUCUAUGGACCUUGGCAAGUACAAGAACUCUACUCUCCUGGACUCCAGCAAAGCAAUGGCCAUUGAUAAGAUACCACAGAUGUCAAAUCUUUCAGCAAUAUUAGAACCUGUACCAGAGGAUUUUCCAAACCAACGCACAAAAAGAAAGAGACCAUCAAGUUCUUCAGCAUUAAGCGUUUCAGCUACUCUGGCAGGUAAAAUAUGACCUGAAGCAGUUGUACUAGCUGUGAGAACAGAAUAUUCUACCCAAACUUAAAUGGUUGCACAGUAUCUAAACCAGGCUUUUACUGUGUCCUUUGUCUUCCAGCACAGACUAAACUCAGUUGUGUUCUAGAAGGGAAAGUGUAAAUUGAAAAAUUGUCCCAGCAAAUAAGACUUGGUUCUAAUUAAUGUGUUAGGAGACGAAAACAAAAACAACCAAUCGACUGAAGUCUCAGACCCUGCAUUUUCCGAUUUUCACUGAGCAUCACCCAUGAUGCUCAGUGAAAUUGACAUUGAAAAUUGACAUUUCUUAUUUACCUUACCCAGAGCACAACUAUUUGUGUCAUGCUCUUUACUUGAGCUAAUUUCAUGUCAGAUUCACAAAUACAUUGAUGUAACUGCAGUUCUGAUGUGUGACCAGUACAAUUCUGUCUGCAGCCCAGGUACCACAUAAUUCCCCCCUGCUUAAUUUGGAGUGUAAUAGCAUCAGAAGUUGCCUCUGGUAAAGACUGCUGUGAUUAUGCAGGUCUCAGUGUUUACCCAGCUGCAUAUAGCCAAGUGACCAUUUUAAUAAGCAGCCUUGUGUACAGAAUGGGAGAGGGGUAAAGCAGUCCUGAUGGUGGGGAGAUGAGGAUUAUAUUGGAGGGGAAAAUUGCGUUUACAGGAGUGGCUUUAGAAUUAUUCCUCUUUGGAAACCAUCUUGUAAGACAGGGGGUGGAGAGUAGCUGUAGUAGUCUUUGUCUCAAAGUUAAUUAAUGUGUUGGAAAUCUGUCACAGGAAAAAAACUCUGUAAAAUAACAGCUGCAAGAGAGAGAACUCCAGAUCUAAAAAGUGGUAUGCGCUGUUCUUCACCAUUAGGACCGGAAAGCAAGUAUGGUACUCGAACAGCUAAAGCCAAAAGGCUGAAGAAAAAAGAAAGCAGUUUUAAUCCCUUUGAAGAAGGUUCAUCAUCAUUUAGGCAGCUUGAUGCCCCAGAAAACACGUCAGCCCGAUCAAAGGGGCUGACAGCUGAAGUUCUGCCAAGCAAACCCACAGAUGCUGUGGUGCAAAUGACUUCCACCAUGCUAAUCAUGGAGGAAAAUAAAGUCCUAAAAAAUCCUGGUAAUGCUCAGCCUCUAGAGCUAGAUCUUAGCCUGUCGCCGGUGUGUAAAGCCUCACCCAGGGAAGACCUGUUCCUGAAUACCACAGGUCCUUUUGUUAACUCAGAAGAAAUUGUUCCUGCAUCUCUGAGCUCAGAAAAAGAAAUGACUCCUCGAAGUCCAGAAGAAAAGAAUAUUUCAAAGCCUCAGUGUGAGAGAAGGGAGAUCUGCUCCAUUGUGAGACUGUCACCAGACCCGAGGCCUUCCCGGCUGCACAAAGUCCCAGUUAACUCCAAAAAGUGCUACCUUCCCAAAGGACUGCCUGAAGAUUCUAUAACGAGUACCAAGAAUUGGAUCUACUGUAAACGGAGAUGAGAUUUUUGGCUCUCAACAGGAGUUAACAGAAGAAAUUACUGUCUUGCUGCUGUGACAGGGUGGUAAAACAGAACUCCUAACUAGCAAAUAAUGGUUGUAUGUUGUUUGACAUUUAGUAGUACGUGUUUCAGUAAGCUGGUAAAUACUCAGAUACUUUAUAUUAUUUUGUACAGCAGCUAGAUUCUGUUCUGGGCAUUAUUCUGUAAGGAUUCCAUAAAGAUGAUUCUUCAGUUUGUUUAGAUUUUUAAAAAGUUUGACUGAAGAACAGCAGACCAAAUGCCUUUAAAAGAAUUACUUUUGGCUCUCUCUCUGCCAAGAUUUCUAGUUUUCUCUAGCAGCAUUAGUAUCUAAAGAUGGGACCUCUGUUUAAGUGUUAACAUUGACUGUGAAGGUAACUGCAUGUCCUGGGAGUGGCCAUGAGAGCAUUCAUGUACUCUUGGAGACCCAGAAGUCAAUAGUAUGCCACCUUUAAACUCCUUCAAUGCUUAGGUCUGCAGAACUUUGGAGGACUCCGAGUUCUGCUGUAAUUUGAUUUCUGAACAUGACUACAGGUCAUCUUCACCCCAUCAUCUCUGAGAAUUGGCUCUUAAUGUUCAGCACUGUCACCAUUCUGGGCAUAUCCACUGCCCAGCCACUGCCAUCUCAGAGUUCUUCCUGCUUCAUCUCACGUGUUUUGUAAUAUCACAUCUCUCAGUCAUUGUUCCUUCUAGUGGCUUCAGACUUCAAGUAAAUGCCUUACAUGAACACAAAGGAAAAACCCUUUUACAGCUGAACUGUUUGAAGAGAUGGAUAUUGAUGUUCUGGAUUUUCAGGUUACUGCUCACACUACGUCCACAUAAUUCAAAUUCCCAGUGCUUUCAGUUCAGGUUGUGGAUUGUUAAUUCAUAAAUGUUGUUCUUAAUGUGCUGAAUGUCUCAGAAAACACUGUCAAGAACAAUUUUUUUCUGCUUGAAUUCAUUGCACAUUUAAGUAAUUUGGAGCCCUUCAGUGUUCUCAUUACAAUAUCCUUUACUCAGACUUUCUCUGGACAAAAAGGAAUUUUCUCAAUGUUACAAAAUGCUAGUAUGGCUUUCAAAAGUCUGAGUUUGUUUCUCAGUGUUAUCACCCUGGAAAAUAGUUCUGUAUUUCCUAAAAGAGCAUUAAAAGAAGACAUACAAAAUUCACAACUGUAGUUUGACUGCAUUUGAAAAUACCUGUAAAAGUUCAAACCCUGAUCUUUUCCCCAUUGCUCUGGGGUAGAAGGAAGUGCAAAUAAUUGCUGCUGGAUUAGUCUGUGAACAAGUAUUAUAUAAACAUUCCGAAUGGCUCAAGGUUAAAAAUUAUGCCAUUAAGCUAUUUUUCUUUUAAGCAUUAAUAGAACGAGUUCUGCCAAUAACGCCUUGGAGUCCUGUUGGGUAUGCUUUUAAUUAUCAAUAUCCUUGUUCUUGCAAAUACUAAAUCACUAGUAAUUAUGCAGGAAUCUAGAGCCCCUAGGAGACAGAGGUGAGCUCCUUGAUGUAGCUUUAAGCAAAAAUGAAAGUUACAUAUUUAGAAAGUUUACCUGAAUAAUCAUAAUGCUUAUGAUGAUUAUUCAAGUAAAGGAUGGUCCACAAUAAAGAUGUUUAUUGUAAGGAUGUUCUGGAAGUC